rnacentral:rRNA from 1 species
GUGGGGAAUAUUGCGCAAUGGGCGAAAGCCUGACGCAGCGACGCCGCGUGGGGGAUGACGGCCUUCGGGUUGUAAACCCCUUUCAGCAGGGACGAAGCCCUUCGGGGUGACGGUACCCGCAGAAGAAGCGCCGGCUAACUACGUGCCAGCAGCCGCGGUAACACGUAGGGCGCAAGCGUUGUCCGGAAUUAUUGGGCGUAAAGAGCUCGUAGGCGGCCUGUUACGUCCGCUGUGAAAACCCGGGGCUCAACCCCGGGCCUGCAGUGGAUACGGGCAGGCUAGAGGCAGGUAGGGGAGAAUGGAAUUCCCGGUGUAGCGGUGAAAUGCGCAGAUAUCGGGAGGAACACCGGUGGCGAAGGCGGUUCUCUGGGCCUGACCUGACGCUGAGGAGCGAAAGCGUGGGGAGCAAACAGGAUUAGAAACCCCUGUAGUCC